UGAUCUCGACCAUUGGAUAUAUUGAUGAGGAAAUGAUCGGUUUAUGUCGAUCGUUCGAUUGAAGAUUUUAAGGGUUUGGAUUAAAAAUGAUGUGUGGUGUCUUUUUGCUAAGACUCGUAGUAGUUAGGGAAGAAUGGGGAGUUAUAGAAAGGGGGGAAGACGGAGGGACGCGAGGAGAAGAAGGGAAGAAGGGAAGACGGGAAGACACAUGAGUUAUAUAGAGAGAAAAAGAGAAUAUGGUGGCUGUGGAGAAGAAUGAGGAGUCAUAGAGAGGAGGAAGACGAAGUGACACGAAGAAUGAGAAGUUAUAGAGAGGAGGAAGACGAAGUGACACAGGGAGGGGAAGAGAAGACGGGGGACACUGGGGUUACAUAGAGAGAGAGGAUAAGCAAGCCAUCUAAAUGUGAAAAAAAAAACUCUCAAAGCAAGGAUGUUGCGCCACGUCAGCAAAAUUAUUGGGAAAUAAUAUAUGUUUAUAGAUUAUAGAUUAUAGAGAGGAGGAAGACGAAGUGACACAGAGAGGGGAAGAGAAGACGGGGGACACUGGGGUUA
rnacentral:lncRNA from 1 species